UACGUAGGGUGCAAGCGUUAAUCGGAAUUACUGGGCGUAAAGCGUGCGCAGGCGGUUUUGUAAGCCAGAUGUGAAAGCCCCGGGCUUAACCUGGGAAUGGCAUUUGGGACUGCAAGGCUUGAGUGCGGCAGAGGAGACUGGAAUUCCUGGUGUAGCAGUGAAAUGCGUAGAUAUCAGGAGGAAUACCGAUGGCGAAGGCAGGUCUCUGGGCAUUAACUGACGCUGAGGAGCGAAAGCAUGGGGAGCGAACAGG
rnacentral:rRNA from 1 species